GAAGGAUCCAUAACCAAAGAGUGAUGAGAUGCACAUCCGCAGAAGCUGUGAAGGUUGAAAUCUAACAUGACCAGCUCAGGACUUUUACCAGGAGGUCACUCUGCCCACUGCUGGGGUAGGUCAGAAGUGCAAAAGAAUUAACAACCACCCAAGAGCAGAACUCAACAAUUACCUGAUGCCAAAAGGUGUACAAAUAUGCCAGCUCCUUCCACCAGCAAGUAGGCGAUUUGUGAGGGCACGAGAAAGCCAUCAAAACGUGUUCAACUGAGGAGUGAAGAUCAGAUUUGCAAAAUAAAAAUUCCAAUCCACCAGGGAGAAGGAGAUGGUAGAUUUGGUGUGAACUUUAUUUCCUAUGUUUGGGGUGGUUUUUUUUUAGUUUUCAAUAAAAUUGUGAGGUAUCAAUUGAGAUAUAUCAUCUGUCUCCAGAUAGAGAAACCACAGCUUCUUAGGGCAACAGUGUCUUGCCCUAAGCCUCAGAUCUAAUAGAUUUCAAGAGUUAAACAAAAGUUUUAUCCCCAACUACCUACAUCGUCCGUCCCCAUAACAGCAAGUGGGGAGAUAAGCUCUUUUCACAGUUGCUGUACUUAUGUAAAAGAUAAGACCUAGGCUUAUGCACCUGCCUAAGAAUGACUAACAAGAUCUAACAGAAUCUCAAUAAAUACUUGUUUAUAGUUUAGCAGGAAGAUAAGAAGACCUUGCUAUCUGAUUCCUUCGGGUGAAUAUGUGCUGAUCAAUAUUUAAACAGACACCUUUACGAGAAGCAUGACAUUCUCCUCCAUUAGAACCUUAAAAUCCUGAUUUCAAAAUUCAAAGCUCUACCCACAGAUUUCUGCAUAUUCAUGUGUCCAACUGUGCACAUCUUUUCAACAUAGUCUAAAUAAGGUUUUCUACUAUAAUAAUACUGCAUUUUAAAGAUAGAUGUGGUAAGGGAAAAAAAAACACAAAUAGUCAAAAAGAUUCCACUAAGGAAGACCCCAAAUAAACCUUCAUUUUUGUCUUUCCUGUAAUAGCAGUUAAGACCAAAAUAUGUCUGUAUGUAUUUUCAAAUAUGAUUCUUACAAUACAUCUAUGAUCCACUUGAUAUUGGGACCAGAUAUUACUGAUCUUCUAAAAUCAUGGACUUAUGUUGCCAUAUAUUAUAACAUGUGAAAAGAAAACUAUAACCUGAUUUAAAAAUAAAUCCUACAAAUAAUUUUUGGUGUACCAAUUUACUAACUAUGGAGUGAAAAAUGUUAAAUAUUUCCAAAUCACAGAAAUGUUAUACUUUUUCAUUCACAUUUUAAAUUAGAAUAUAACUGCAUUAUUACUUCAAUCAUAUUUUUUAAUAAAUUAACUUGCUCUAAAGUCUAUUAAUAAAUACUAAUGAAAGCAUGGCCCACAGUUAUUCUCAUUUUUGUGCCUUCAGCUGUUUUUUCUUUCUGUGCAACUGGGGUGAUAUUUUCAAAACAAUAAUCAGAUUUCAUUAUCCUCCUAGUAAAUCCCUUUCAGGGAACACUUGUUGCUCUUAGAGCAAGUGUGGACAUCUCAUCAUGGCUAGAAUAAUCUGCUUCAAGUCUAUUUACAGCCUCUCCCUUAACACACUCCCCCCAACACCCUUACACAAUGACCCAGCCACACUAGAUGCCUUCCUUCUAUGUCAUCUCCAAGUUGGUGUCAUUCCCAACCCAAAGGGAAUGAAAAUAUGAAUUCUCUAGAUCACCUUGCGAAUCUUUGUCAUGUUGGCUAGGAGAAGCCUUGCCUUUUCCCUGCCUUGCUGUGCAUCAAGAUGCACUGGUGACUGUUUCCCCAAUUCCCAAGUCAGUUGGCUUCUGGCUGAGUGUGGACAAUGGAAGGUGAGGAUCGGACUGGAAGGCAAAGGAACAAGAUGACAUGUGUAACAUUUCUGACCUUGGGCCCAUGUGCUGCUGGCUCCAGCCUCUACAGGCAUGCCUAAGAGAUUUCAUCUACCCAGGGCCAUACAUUCCUGUUUCUGGCCACAAGGCCUACUUUCUCUGUUCAUCUCAUAACCCCAUUUCUUAACUGUUAAAGCUGCCCAGUUUUUAAUGAGUUGUUUUUAAUGCUGCAUCUUCAAAGGUGGUGAGGUCCUGUUCUAAGAAUCUUCUCUUCUGGAAUUUCAUUUUU